rnacentral:rRNA from 1 species
GAUGAACGCUGGCGGCGUGCUUAACACAUGCAAGUCGAACGAAGCAUUUGCGACAGAUUUUUUCGGAAUGAAGUUGCUUAUGACUGAGUGGCGGACGGGUGAGUAACGCGUGGGUAACCUGCCUUGUACUGGGGGAUAGCAGCUGGAAACGGCUGGUAAUACCGCAUAAGCGCACAAUGUUGCAUGACAUGGUGUGAAAAACUCCGGUGGUAUAAGAUGGACCCGCAUCUGAUUAGCUAGUUGGUGAGAUAACAGCCCACCAAGGCGACGAUCAGUAGCCGACCUGAGAGGGUGACCGGCCACAUUGGGACUGAGACACGGCCCAGACUCCUACGGGAGGCAGCAGUGGGGAAUAUUGCACAAUGGAGGAAACUCUGAUGCAGCGACGCCGCGUGAGUGAAGAAGUAAUUCGUUAUGUAAAGCUCUAUCAGCAGGGAAGAUAGUGACGGUACCUGACUAAGAAGCUCCGGCUAAAUACGUG